GAGGAAUAUUGGUCAAUGGGGGCAACCCUGAACCAGCCAAGUCGCGUGAAGGAUGAAGGUCUUAUGGAUUGUAAACUUCUUUUAUACGGGAAUAAAGUGGGGGACGUGUCCCCUUUUGCAUGUACCGUAUGAAUAAGGAUCGGCUAACUCCGUGCCAGCAGCCGCGGUAAUACGGAGGAUCCGAGCGUUAUCCGGAUUUAUUGGGUUUAAAGGGUGCGUAGGCGGAAAGAUAAGUCAGCCUGUGAAAGUUUGCGGCUCAACCGUAAAAUUGCAGUUGAUACUGUUUUUCUUGAGUGUACAUAAGGUAGGCGGAAUUCGUGGUGUAGCGGUGAAAUGCUUAGAUAUCACGAAGAACUCCGAUUGCGAAGGCAGCUUACCGGGGUACAACUGACGCUGAUGCACGAAAGUGUGGGUAUCAAAC
rnacentral:rRNA from 1 species